ensembl:lncRNA
GUCGCUCAGACCAUCACACCUCUCUGUGCUCUCUCUGCUCUCUGCUUUCUUCAUCUCCAGGUCUCCCAUCUGUCCCUGUCUCUACCAUCCUCAUCCUCACUCUGUCUCUCCAUGGGAGUCAUGUCCUCCCCCAGGUUCCUGUCACUUCAUCUGCUUGGAGCCUUGCUGCUGCCGCUGCUGCUGCUGCCUGGUUCUUGGGCCCAGCAUUAUGAUGAUUUCACAUCAUCUCCAGAUUACGACUCUGACUACAACUCCACCUUUGAGUACAGCUUCUUCAGUAAUACGAGCAGCGAGGACCUGGACAGACUUGUGGAACGCUACCUCGAUCCAGACGAAACUACGGAGGACACUGGAGGACCAGAGGAGGAAGUGGCUGUAACCAUGGUGAUUACAAGAAGAACAACAGAGGGGGUCAACGCUCACGGCACUGCACCAUUUCAGGUAUGUUUGGAAAUCAGGACGCUGCUCUGGACUCUGGUGAUCCUGUUGGUCCUGCAGCAGCUGCAACACACACUGUCGCUGAAGCUGCAGUGAAACAGGUCGAGUUGUCUUCUUCUUCUGCUCUGCUUUCUGAGUAAACAGCGUCUGCGU